CCCACGCACCUGUGCAGGACGGUGAGGGUCUGUGGCAUGCAGACUGCCUAGAUCCAAAGGCUCCAGCUGUGCUGGCUUUCAUCUCACGUGGGACCUUUGAAGCAGUGGCAGCAGCAGCAGCAGCAGCAGCAGUGGUGAGGUUGAAGUGUUGCAACAGCACCAGCUGUCCCUCCUCUCUGGAGAAACGCAGCUGCACAGCCUCCAGUCGGGUCUCUGUAUCAGUCCAGAGGCCUGCUGCAGUGGAGGGGCCCUCCCUCUGCUUGCAGUAUCCUCAGGGGAGGCGUGGAGCCUGGGAUUUUCUCCUGUUUCCCUUUCCCACGUGUGGGCGCCUUCCCUAAUUACCUCCAGCCCUGCAGAGCAGCUCGGCUCACUUCUGUCUUCUUUGCUUCACUCCUGCAGCCUCUCCGUGGGUUCCCAGUGCUCUCGCUCAGACGAUCGAUCCAAAGAGCUUGGAUCCCCUGUUGUUCUGACCAGACUCUUCUAGCACAUGUGGUGUGGAGGACCUCAAUCAGAGAAUUUUUAGGAUAAAGAAACAAGAUAAAUGGCACCAUGAAGCAAAUCCAGAAUAUGGGACAUUCUGCCCGACAUCCUAUGGGACAACUGGCAAGCCUGUUCAAUAAAUUGAUGUCAUUAAAAAAAAAAAAAGAAUCUUCAGAUACAUAACAAACAGACACAGCAUUUGGUCCUGGAUUAGAUGUUCAUAUAAGCAAUUCAACUGAAAAGAACAUUGUUGGGUCAUUGGGAAACUUGAAUUUGGUCUCAGAAUUA